rnacentral:sRNA from 1 species
AGGCACCAAGUUAUUUACUCGGUAGAGAUCAUGACUUUGCCCUGGUGUCUGUGCUGCCCCGCACCCUGCUUGUUAACCACGUUAAGACGACUGGCCUGUUAAUUAACUUUAAUUACGAUCAUUUGGCCUCCACCUGCCUGAACCCGAUACCUUACACGGGAACCUGUAUGAUGCUUAAGCACGUAAAGCAGUCACUGUGAAGAAAAUAACAUUUUAAGAAACUUUUCUGUCACAAUUGAUAGAGGAAAAGCCAGUAGAGAAGUGCAUCUUCUUGUGUGUGUGUAUCAUCGUGCCACUUUUUGUAACUCAGCUUAGUAAUGAAGCCACCAUUAUGUCCUCAGUCAGUGAAGUAAAUGUGGAUAUAAAAGAUUUCCUAAUGAGCAUUAAUUUGGAGCAGUAUCUCUUACAUUUCCAUGAGUCUGGUUUUACUACUGUGAAGGACUGUGCAGCAAUAAAUGACAGCCUGCUGCAGAAAAUUGGAAUAUCACCUACAGGUCACCGUAAGAGGAUACUCAAACAGUUACAGAUAAUCUUGUCAAAAAUGCAAGAUAUUCCAAUAUAUGCAAAUGUUCAUAAAACUAAGAAGAAUGAUGACCCUUCAAAGGAUUACCAUGUUCCAUCUUCUGAUCAGAAUAUCUGCAUAGAACUUUCCAAUUCUAGUAGUGUUCAGACAUCUAGCCCACCGCAGUUGGAGACUGUUACAAAAAAUCUUGAAGACAAUGAUGCAAGUGUGGAAAGAAGCCAGUAUCCUCAAUCAGAUGAUAAGCUGUCUCCUCCUAAAUGCGACUUCCCCACUGCAGAGGAACCACACCUGAAUUUGGGUUCUUUGAAUGAUUCUUUAUUUGGUAGUGAAAAUAUUAAAAUAGAAUCGUUGAUUACAAAGAAGACUAUGGAUCACACAAUUGAAGAACAACAAACAGAAAAAGUUAAAUUGAUCACAGAAAAUCUCAGUAAGCUCCCUAAUGCAGACUCUGAAUGCCUUUCUUCUGUUGGCUGUUCAACAUCAGGAACAAAUUCUGGAAAUGGAACAAAUGGUUUAUUAGAAGGAUCACCACCACCAUCCCCAUUCUUUAAGUUUCAAGGAGAAAUGAUUGUAAAUGACUUGUAUGUUCCAUCAUCACCAAUCCUAGCACCUGUGAGAAGUCGUAGCAAAUUGGUUUCAAGACCAUCUCGAUCUUUUCUGCUAAGACAUCGACCUGUACCAGAGAUUCCAGGGUCAACAAAAGGAGUUUCUGGGAGCUAUUUCCGUGAAAGAAGAAAUGUUGCUACCUCAACUGAAAAAUCUGUGGCAUGGCAAAAUUCAAAUGAGGAGAAUUCAUCUUCCAUCUUUCCUUAUGGAGAGACCUUUCUCUUCCAGAGACUAGAAAAUUCCAAGAAGCGAUCUAUAAAGAAUGAAUUUUUGACCCAGGAAGAAGCACUGAAAGGGGAAGCAACUACUGCAACAAACUCUUUUAUCAUCAAAUCAAGCAUAUACGAUAACAGAAAGAAAAUAAGCGAGGACAAGGUGGAAGAUAUUUGGAUACCUCGAGAGGACAAAAACAAUUUUUUGAUAGACACUGCUUCUGAAUCAGAAUACUCAACAGUAGAAGAAUGCUUUCAGAGUUUAAGAAGAAAAAAUUCAAAGGCAUCUAAAUCUAGGACUCAAAAAGCCUUGAUUUUGGACUCCGUUAAUAGGCACAGUUAUCCGUUAAGCUCAACAAGUGGAAAUGCUGAUUCAUCAGCCGUUUCUUCGCAGGCAAUAUCUCCCUAUGCUUGCUUUUAUGGAGCAUCUGCAAAGAAGGUUAAAUCAGGAUGGCUGGAUAAACUCUCUCCUCAAGGAAAACGCAUGUUUCAGAAGAGAUGGGUGAAAUUUGAUGGCCUUAGCAUUUCUUACUACAAUAAUGAGAAGGAGAUGUAUUCGAAAGGAAUAAUUCCCCUUUCUGCUAUAUCAACAGUACGAGUUCAAGGAGACAACAAAUUUGAAGUUGUUACAACACAAAGAACUUUUGUUUUUAGAGUAGAAAAAGAAGAGGAGAGAAAUGACUGGAUCAGCAUACUAUUAAAUGCACUGAAAUCACAAUCCCUUACCUCGCAGUCUCAAGCUGUUGUUACACCUGAGAAAUGUGGAUAUCUUGAACUGAGAGGCUAUAAGGCAAAAAUUUUUACUGUGUUAAGUGGAAACAGUGUGUGGCUUUGCAAAAACGAACAGGAUUUUAAGAGUGGACUUGGUAUUACCAUAAUUCCUAUGAAUGUAGCAAAUGUAAAGCAAGUGGACCGAACUGUGAAACAAUCUUUUGAAAUAAUCACUCCCUAUAGGAGUUUCAGCUUUACAGCCGAGACUGAAAAAGAGAAACAAGACUGGAUUGAAGCUGUGCAGCAAUCAAUAGCAGAAACUCUCUCUGAUUAUGAAGUAGCUGAGAAGAUUUGGUUCAAUGAAUCCAACAGGAGCUGUGCAGAUUGUAAAGCCCCAGAUCCUGACUGGGCAUCCAUCAAUCUCUGUGUUGUCAUCUGUAAGAAGUGUGCAGGACAGCAUAGAUCUUUAGGACCAAAAGAUUCCAAGGUUAGAAGUCUAAAAAUGGAUGCUAGCAUUUGGAGCAAUGAACUCAUCGAGCUUUUUAUUGUCAUUGGAAACAAAAGAGCAAAUGACUUUUGGGCUGGUAAUCUUCAAAAGGAUGAAGAAUUACAUAUGGACUCACCAGUAGAAAAGAGAAAAAACUUUAUUACUCAGAAAUAUAAAGAAGGAAAAUUCAGAAAAACCUUUUUGGCAUCUCUCACCAAAGAAGAAUUAAAUAAGGUAUUCAGUUAAACAUAACAGCAGACAUGGAUUUUAAUGUCUUUUUAAUGAUUUGCCAAGGUUCUUGAGAAAAAGUAAAAAAUCUUAUACUAUCUGACAAAAUUAUUAAUUUUAUUUUAUUUCCUUUUGUGAGAUUAUUUCAGUGGUUUCCCCCUUGUUUCACUUAAGGAUUCGUUGUCAAAAGAGCAUAAAUUCUUCCCCCAUAAUUGAAGUUUCCCGCUAACUCAUGUUGCCACAAUCUGAGGAUUUGGAAGCAAAUGGGGAUCCAGUAAAGUGAAGUCUGAGGACUGAUAUAAUGUGGGAAGAAAGAAUGAGAAGAGAUGUAGAGGCAGCUUAUUAUUUCAAGGC